AUUGAACGCUGGCGGCAGGCCUAACACAUGCAAGUCGAGCGGAUGAAGGGAGCUUGCUCCUGGAUUCCGCGGCGGACGGGUGAGUAAUGCCUAGGAAUCUGCCUGGUAGUGGGGGAUAACGUCCGGAGACGGGCGCUAAUACCGCAUACGUCCUGAGGGUGCAAGUGGGGGAGCUUCGGACCUCACGCUCUCAGAUGAGCCUAGGUCGGAGUAGCUAGUUGGUGGGGUAAAGGCCUACCAAGCCGGCCAUCCGUGACUGGUCUGAGAGGAUGAUCGGUCACACUGGAACUGGGACACGGUCCAGACGCCUACGGGAGGCAGCAGUGGGGAAUAUGGGACAAUGGGCGAAAGCCUGAUCCAGCGAGGCCGCGUGUGUGAAGAAGGUCUUCGGAUUGUAAAGCACUUUAAGUGGGGAGGAAGGGCAGUAAGUUAAUACCUUGCUGUUUUGACGGUACCAACAGAAUAAGCACCGGCUAACUUCGUG
rnacentral:rRNA from 1 species